UGCAUCUUGCUUCUGCUGGCAGAUAUAAUCAGGGGUUAAAGGCUCCCUAGUUAUGCUGACUGUGUCAUGUGUGGGGCAUGAUUAGCUAGACUUCAAUAGAUUGAGAAGGGAUUUGAUAAAUCUUCACAUAUGUGAAGGAUAAUAUUCAAACAGACUGGAGGUCAGAUAAUGUUUGGGACCCAGGGCUCCACGCAGCACCCCAAAAGCUGGUUGAACCUCUCUGUAUUUAUGGAAAGCCUGUGAAGUUUCUUUUUUACACUUUUUCCUCAUCAAGGAAUCCUGCAAUUACCCUGGAAUCUCGACUCGGACCGAACAAUCCAUUUCUAGCCUGUGUGGGCAGCAGUAAUAGCUUGAAAUCAUGAAGGAUAAGGCAAAAAAAAAAAAAGUUGAAUAUUGUUUAUCUUUUACUGGCAUCAUUCGAGGUCAAAAGGGACUGCACCUUGUCUAACCUACAGCAGACUGCAGGAUGGUUGAGCUAUUCACACAUUGCCUAGCCACACUUCACAGACUUGAGCUGCUGACUUCUCAAGAAAACCGGCCGGGCAUGACUUUGGCUCACUGCUUGGCUAGGAACACCUGCUAGCAUUGACCCCUGCAAGCGUGAAGAAUGAUGCCUGUGAUUCCCCGAGGUGCAGGAAGCUGCCGAACUCUUCUUCCUGUAGUUUCUGGCUCAUUCACUUAGAAAAUGGUUUGAGAUGUCCAGUGAAUGAACUAUGACUUAAGACAACCUUGGGGGCAACCUAGUGAGGUCAACUCAGCUCAUCUUCUUGGUAGGAACUCUGCCAGGAAAGGCCAGAGGCAUAUAUUUAUAAUAAAUGGUGUUUAAUUAUGACCCUCCUUCCAGCCCUGGGAUCAUUCCAUCACAGCUCUGCCAGUGCCCUUCACUUUUGACCCAUAGACCCAUUGCUUUCCUAGUGCUCAGUUCCCAUUCCCCUCAGUCUUCUGCCACAUCAGCCUUGGUCUUCUCCGUCAUAUUGCUGCCCAUUCCCCUUUGUCUUGACUCAGAGUCACUCUACUAUUUUGGUCCUGGCUCUCUCCUGUCCAUCACAGUUGAUGUGUAUGGUGCACUUCCUUAGCCCCAGCUCUGCCAGGGGCUUCCUGUCAUACCACCAUGUCUUCCAUUUAAUACAUACUCUUCACAUAGGGAUCAGAGGCCUGAUAGCUGAAGCUGUUCAGGUGCCUGAUGGGAAUCACUUCACUUUGAACAGUAGGUGAGGGGGGUGUGUCGUUGAGUUACAGGCCCUUAAAAUAACUGCAUUUGCUGUCCCAGAACCAAUAAGGCUUU